ensembl:lncRNA
AAACUAAUCUCUGUGUCCCUUUGCUACUGUCUCCAAGAUUCCUGAGAAACCUUCGUUCCUUGAUUCCCCUUCGAUCUCAGGUGUCUCGAAUGUGCUGGGCAAGUUCGCUGAACAUAUCUUCUCCCAUACCAAAGGAAAGGACAAGCAUUAGUUACCCAGAAUUGUGUGGCAUUGACCUUUCGUCUCCGAACGUACUCACCUGAACCCCACCGCUCACGGAGUGAUCGUCACUGAAUCUGCACCUGAUAUCACCUGCUAUUCACCUUGCACUAGGAUUGUGAAAAAUAAACUUGGUGUUGAAUUCACUUACCUCUGCCUCAUGUGCCUAUGCUGACAGGAAUGACAUGAGGAUUUUUAGUUUCUCAUUCAGAGUCUUCGGUUUAGACUCAUCCCAUCCGUGCCUGGGCUCUGUAUUUUUAGUGUCUUAUUCAGAGUCUUCGGGUAGGACUCAUCCCAUCCGUGCCUGGGCUCUGUGUAAGUUCACCAUUUUACUCUCUUCCUAUAUUUAGAUACUUUUCAGAGCUGUUUGCGCUGAGGUAAUUGGAGUAUAAUCCAUGCAAAAGCAUGAUAAUAUUAUUAUAGUGUUUUUAAUCUAAUAAUAAUAAUAAUAAUAAUAAUAAUAAUAAUACAUUUACCAUUAGCAUGAAGAGAUGCCUGUGUUUAUAAUAAAUACUUCUCAGAAAAGAUGAUUGGCUUUUCC